GCUGAGAUUAGAGCCAGCCAAUCAGGGCUAGGCUAGGCCCUAUAUAAUGGCUGCCCAGGAGAGCAGCAGGUAGUCGGUCUGUCCCAGAAUUUCAUGGGGGAAGGUCUGUCUCCAGAGCAGGAGACCAGCAUCUUGGGCUGGGCAGUACUGCCUCUGGCCAUCUGAUGGCUGAGACAAAUUGUAACCGGCCCUUGAGACAAGAGGCUAGACUUUGGGGGUUGCGGUUGGCCACCGAGGCAGGUGCAAGGACUGUUGCUAACCCCUGCCCCCUGGAAUGGGGUGAGGAUGGACUAGUGGGCACUGCUGGAGGGGCAGUAGGCUGAAGAACACUGUCAAGCGGUCAGCAAUGCGGCUCCAGAUGCCAACGGAGGACAAGAGACGGAUGGGAUGCUGCCAGGAGAGGGCGUUCUCCAUCGACUGAGCUAAUUCCCAGAGCGACCAGGGGGAGGCGCCAUGCUGGAAUAGGAGCCUCCUUCGCAGCUGUCUUCCAGGCCCUGCGAUCUGGCACAGCCUCCCAGACGGGCGCUUCCUGUAGCUGAGCCACGUCAGGGAGCAGUGGGGACAGGUCACCUCGUCCCAGCAAUGCCGGCUCUCAAAGAGGCUUAGAUGGAAGACCCCAGUCCCUCAUGGAGAGGCUGUGUCCAGGAUCCUGGAGACUGUUUCCUGCUGCAGGAGGUUUGAGCGGGGAGAGAUCACUCACUGUCACGACCCAGGGGUCUCCGACCCAGGUCUGCAGGGUUCAUGGGAGCAGCCACACUCCAACCCUCCACCUGGAAGCCUGCUGAAAAUUGCUUACCUCAGACCCAUGAAGUUCAGCCCCAGUUCGAGGCUCCACUCCUGAGGUCGUAUUGGAGGCAUCCCAGGAAAGCUCACUGGCCCCCUGGCCCUGCGUAAGACAGCAGCAGGAACAUGAAGCUGACUGAAUACCAGGCCUGCUCCCUGUUCUGGACCGUGUGCUGCCGCUCCCCUGGCUUGAUUUCCUGGCAUCUGAGUUGUGGUGGUGAUGGCACGUUUGUCUUUUGCUGCUGAUCUUCCAAUGACCCGACUGACUCUCCACUCCUGUCAUGUGAAUGUGGACUCUGGCUCUGACCAGUAGGUCUGGCUGACCUUGACCCAGCCGUGAUGUUCACUUUUGUACAAUUUCUUCAAUGCCCCUUUCUGAUCUCCAGCAAGAUACACCAGUCCCUUGGCUCCCAAAGUCCCAGUUGCCCACUAUUCAAGGACUGAGGGGUAGUGCUUGUAUCGCCCCACCCCAGCUGCCUUUCCUAUGGGAAUCUCCCUAGAGCAGAGGAGAAAUCUGCUCUUCUCUUAGGAUCAGUCCCACCCUGGUUUCAGCUCGGCUACUUUGUUGACCUGGGGUCAGGCACCACUUUUGAAGCCCUCAGCGUGUGGGUGGAGGUGGGAGCAGAGGCUGAAGCUCCAGCAGUUUCCACCAAAGAACACCCCCCUGUCUUUCUAUGGUCCGGCUAGGGCUCCCCAGCCAUCCUGGAGCUGAACACCAGAUGGGAGUUGAUGGAUUGUCCUUGGUGGGCCAUGUUCUUGUGUGUGAUGAGAGGGCCAGGAGCAGAUGCACCACGCCUGGCCAGGACCAGGCUAAACAGCCUGUAAUGCUAGACAGUCAGCCCAUGAGGCCAGUCUGCAGAAUGUGGAAGAGCCCUUUGGCGAGGCGUUGGAGGAUUCACCAUGAAGGUGGCAGCAGCGGCAGUGCUUGGGGUCCCCAUGGGCCAAGCCUCUACUCCUGCCAAUCCAGGCUAAUCUCCUGCUGCUCUCAGUGGGGCUUGGCUUUAGCUGCUGGGCCUGUGAGCCUAGCCCAGGGGUCUCAAACUCAAAUGACCACGAGGGCUGCAUGAGCACUAGUUCAUUGGCCCGAAGGCCGCAUCACUGACACCCC